AUUGAACGCUGGCGGCAGGCUUAACACAUGCAAGUCGAGCGGGGGAAGGUAGCUUGCUACUGGACCUAGCGGCGGACGGGUGAGUAAUGCUUAGGAAUCUGCCUAUUAGUGGGGGACAACAUCUCGAAAGGGAUGCUAAUACCGCAUACGUCCUACGGGAGAAAGCAGGGGAUCUUCGGACCUUGCGCUAAUAGAUGAGCCUAAGUCGGAUUAGCUAGUUGGUGGGGUAAAGGCCUACCAAGGCGACGAUCUGUAGCGGGUCUGAGAGGAUGAUCCGCCACACUGGGACAGAGACACGGCCCAGAGUCCUACGGGAGGCAGCAGUGGGGAAUAUUGGACAAUGGGGGGAACCCUGAUCCAGCCAUGCCGCGUGUGUGAAGAAGGCCUUAUGGUUGUAAAGCACUUUAAGCGAGGAGGAGGCUACUUUAGUUAAUACCUAGAGAUAGUGGACGUUACUCGCAGAAUAAGCACCGGCUAACUCUGUGCCAGCCGCCGCCGUAA
rnacentral:rRNA from 1 species